GCUGAAGCUAUCGCUAGACCGUUAAUUCCGCUGCUGUUUUCUUUUCUUUUGAUCAAAUCAACUGGCACGCUAAUACAUCCGAAGGCGAGCUUUGGACCUACACUGGAGUUAAGCAGAUCUCCCAGGCCACGUGUAUCCUGUCAACACGACGACUAUGCGAGCUCCCAACCGCCGCCGCCUCCUUCCCCUCUCCUCUCCCCUCCCACCCCUGCUGCCGCCUGCUCUCUCCCCUUGACUCGCGACGACAGCGAUGACGUGAGCUCGCCGGAAGGCUGCCUUCUCCCCUUCACAGUAGCCGCGAGCGGCUCCUCCUCCCUGUCGCCGUCUCGUACAUAGGGGCGGGGGACCAAGAAGAAGGGAUAAGGAAGAAAUGCAUCUGGAGCAGGGUAUUUUGGUCAUUUCACAAGCGAAGUCUGGUAAAAAAAAGCUCAAAACAACCCAAAGCAGCAUUUUAUUAAGGUGUAUUAUGUAUAGAGUGGUAUUUUUAUAAGGUGGCAUUCUGUUGAAGCCAGCUGCUCAAGAGUGGCAUAUUGUAAAAUUUCUACAAAAUCACCUGAUCUUGCAUCCCCUCUUCACGGACUUUGCAGUCGCAUUCGCUCCGACGCCUCCCUCGCGGCUCCGCCGCACUGUCCGCACGAACCCGCCCCACACCAUCCCGCCGGCCCGGCGACCGCGUCUUGCUCGCCAUGGCCGCUGCGGGGUGCUUUGAGGACGGGAUUAAGCUCACUCUCUGCUCCUGCUCCUACACCAGCAUUCUACUAUCUAAGCGGGUAAGGAAGAGUCCUCGAGGCAGAUAGAUUGGCCGAUGCAGGUCAGGCGCCUGCUGGAUGUAGCACGCUCAUAGCGGGGCAAAUCGAUGAAUUAAUUAAGCAUGGCGGAGAGGACGAUCUCUACGCAAGGAUGCCAGGGUGAGGGAGGCUAAUGGAUGAGGCAUUUCGACAAGUAGAUGUUAUGCGUUAUGUUAUGCCCACAAUAUAGCUAUCCCUGACUAACCGAAACAGUGAAUUUUCAGAACUGGGCUGCAUUUCGAUGUGUUGUGUGCUAUAAUGCUCUGAAGGGCAGGUUCUGUGACAUUUCUUAUUGUGUCUUGGUCCUCAAGAUGCUGCUUGAUCCUGUUCUUGGAGAGAACUCAGCUGGAUGUGUUUAGUUUUAUACAGUCACAAUGAGGGUAGACUCUCUGCAGUGCUGGGAAACUUCAGGUGUCACUGUGCCUAAUAGAUGUUGAGGGGAUUGGAUAUGAUGAUCUGGAAUUCAGUACUUCUAUUCUGGUUCUUCAUGGCUAGGGAUUAAUGUGCAGUUCUGCUAACUCUUGUUGAUAUGGUCAAUGCCAUGCUUAUUGAUGGUUUAUAAAAAGUGAAAGUUUAUUGUGGCAGAUGAAAGAGCAAAAGAUCUUUGAGAGGUACACAUCUUGUCUUCGUCUACUCUGAGACACGGAGGAUAUAGCUAGGGAGCUCAUGUGGUGUCACUAUCUGGAAACACAUGAGGGUUGGUUUCCUCUCUGACAGCACCAAGCAAUCAUGUUUAAUUUGGGGGAUGAAGUUGGUGAAUUACCUUCGCAGCCAUCUAGGAUGUAUGGAUUUCCACGAUAACCAGGCAAGCAACUGCAUCUGUAGCCAACAUAACCAUCCAUGGAGCUAAGGACAUUCAAG